AUAUUGGUGUUUUUGAAUGUGUUGUUUAAAUAACAUAAAAAAUAAAAUAUAUAUAUUGACAUGCAUUAAACAAAGAUAUAUAUUAUUUUAUGUUGUAUAAAUAAAUUGGCAAAAUAGAGAUGGAAGAUAAAAAUAUGGUCAAAGUAAUAAGAGUCUAUGGUGAAUGCCUAGGAGCUUUAAGGCGAAGAAGGUCGUGGUAAGCUGCGAAAAGCUUGGGGGAGAAGCAAACAUUUAUUGAUCCCAAGAUUACCGAAUGGAGUAAUC
rnacentral:misc_RNA from 1 species